GCUGGAAAGGUGUAUCAGUAUGACGUUUCCUCAAAGACAAUUUUCUUAGCACAUCUCUGAAAACUGUCUUGUGUUUACACUUUACAGUUGUAUAAUAUUUUCUUAGCAUCCCUUACGAAAUUAUUUCUCCAAAGUUUCCUGAAAGUUACAGCUUACAAAAAAUCGAAAAAGAAUUAGGAAAAAUAAUAUAAAAUCGCCGAAUACUUAUAUUAUUCGUUUUCUCUUUUUGAGUCUUUACAAGUGAACUACUCGCAUAUGAUAAUAAUGGCCCGUUUGGUUCCACUUUUUCAGUCCAAAACGGGCGUUUUCAAAAAAGCCAAGCCACGUUCUGCGUUUGGUAAAGUUCAAAACGCAACUUUUUUAUAAAAGUUGCGUUUUGAACUUUUAGGAAAGCUGAAGGCAAAACGCGCAUAGAAAAUGCACCUUCAGCUGUCCAUAAAUCAAAACGCGCAUAGCGCGUUUUGUUAUAUUACCGUUGCAUGAGUUGAAAGACCGAAAUACCCACACGCCCCUCAUCUCUGAUCUCUGCUCUCCAUUUCGCAUUUGACGCCUCCAUCUUCUUCUCUCUGCGUCGUUCACUGUUCAGGUGAAGAUGAGCAGAAAAGGCUGUCUGGGAGGUAAAGGCUUAUGAUGGGGUGAUGAAGGAUGGAGAGAGAAUAUUUAUAAAACUUGCUAAGACAAGGGAAAUAAAAACAAGAGAAUUGAAGUGUGUCAAGUGCAUUAAGGAUGAAGAUCAGAGAGUGUUUGAUGCAUGAGGCAGUGAGAAGACAGAUUUAUUAUAUUUUAUUUGAUUUUAAGUAUCAAGGGCAAUUUUGUGUUGUACAAUUUAAACUUAGAUUAUUGAUAUGUAUUUUAUAUGUUUUUACAUUUUUAUGUAGUACAAUUUAAACUUAGAUUAUUGGUGUAUAUUUUAUCAUCUUUUUACAUUUUUA